CCUAUGCACAGUUAAAUCUUCAAAAUGCUUCUCAGGAUCUUCAAGGGAGUGACAAGAAUGACCACUGCAGAGCAUCCCUGCCACCUCCAGAGAAGCUCAUUGCUGGGAUCCUAGGGGUCAUCUGCCUUGUCCUGGUGUGCACUCUGGUAACAUACAUAGAUUUUAAACACUAGAACCAGACAGGGAACCAGAAA